rnacentral:rRNA from 1 species
CCUACGGGAGGCAGCAGUAGGGAAUCUUCCACAAUGGGCGAAAGCCUGAUGGAGCAACGCCGCGUGGGUGAAGAAGGUCUUCGGAUCGUAAAACCCUGUUGUUAGAGAAGAAAGUGCGUGAGAGUAACUGUUCACGUUUCGACGGUAUCUUACCAGAAAGCCACGGCUAACUACGUGCCAGCAGCCGCGAUAAUACGUAGGUGGCAAGCGUUAUCCGGAUUUAUUGGGCGUAAAGGGAACGCAGGCGGUCUUUUAAGUCUGAUGUGAAAGCCUUCGGCUUAACCGGAGUAGUGCAUUGGAAACUGGGUGACGUGAGUGCAUGAGAGGAGAGUGGAACGCCAUGUGUAGCGGUGAAAUGCGUAGAUAUAUGGAAGAACACCAGUGGCGAAAGCGGCUCUCUGGUCUGUAACUGACGCUGAGGUUCGAAAGCGUGGGUAGCAAACAGGAUUAGAUACCCGUGUAGUC